UCCCAAGUAAAGGUUCAUCCAAACCAUCUAGCCCUGAUGUCUCCAAAUGUUCGUGUCUUUUCCCAUCGACAUCCCCAUGGUGGAGUCUUCUCCUCAAAGCUCGUGAUGUCAUGAGUUAAGAUUGUUAUAUAAGCCUAGAGAGAGAGAGAGAGAGAGAGGAUCUACGAUGUGUUGGAUUGUGACAAAGGACAAAGCAAGAGAGAGAUCACGACGAUGAAGACGACGAUUGGGACGAUGGUGAAUUGGUUAUCGAACAGAGCUAGGGCAAGCACAGAAAAUCACCUUCCCAAUAAACCCUACCCACAACUCUCUCCUCUCCUCUCUCUCUCUCUCUCUAUGUCACCGAGACACCAUAAACC